rnacentral:rRNA from 1 species
GCCACAGCCAUAUCACCCUGCAGCCCAAGACUGGUCGCCAAGCUGAAGCUAAGCAGGGUUGAGCUGGUCAGUACCUGGUUGGGAGACCUCCUGGGAAAACUAGGUUGCUGCUGGAA